ensembl:antisense
AUCUAAGAUCCAGGACUUGGGGGGUCCCUAACUUUAAAUAGUGGGGUGCACUGAUUGUUUGGGAUCCGCCUCAAGACUUCAGCCUAGGUCUACCUAGGUGAUACCUCUCAAAGACUGGAGCCAUUCUUGUGUCCAGGCCCAGGUUUGAGGCCGCGAUGACUCAACGCAGCAUCCCCUCCCCUUGCUAAACCGCGGUCUCCGCCUACCCCCAAUCAAUCUCAAGGAAGCUCUUUGGAAGCCAGGAUUCCCAGCACUUAGCUGGUGGGCAAAGGGGCUCAACCCCUUCCCCACAUCCCACCUUCCCUCCUCCCAGUCUUCGGGAUUGCGGAGCUCCUGCCGGGAUCCAAGAGCAGGCUCUUGGAGGUCGAAGAAGGAUAUAACCUCCAGACCUGGAAUUUAAGACGCAAGAACCAGCCAGCAAAAGUGGCAGCCGAGCAUGCGAGGGACUGCUGAUGGCUUUUUAUUAGGAAGCUAUGCAACUUGAGGUUCUACUGAAAAGGAGAAGAGGCCACUGGAGAUGGGAAGCCACGAAAACAUGAAGAUGUAGAAGUCUCAGCUCCUUCAAUGCUAUGUCUGCCAAGAUGCUGCCACACUCCCUUCUUGAUGAUAAUGGACUGAACCUCUGAACCUUCUUCAUUUAAACUGGCUCACCCAGAGGUGGGACAGAGUCAAUAACACACCAGGAACCUGUUUGGAAGUACUAAGUGGUGGUUGCAUGAAAAGGGAAGGAGGAUCAACCACUAACACCUACAUGGACAGAGCCCCACCAACUUUAAGAAUCAGGAAGAAACUGGGUGUGGUGGCACACGCCUUUAAUCCCAGCACUCAGGAGGCAGAGGCAGAGGCAGGCGGAUUUCUGAGUUCGAGGCCAGCCUGUUCUACAAAGGACGAGAAACUACAGCAUUACUUCUGCAGAUUCACAAAGGAGUCCACGUUCCAAGAUGAGAGAAAUACCAGAAGCCGAUGGCUAUUCUACUUGACUGAAUGAAAAGAAAAGGAAGGCACUUCCUGUCAAUCCUGCUUUGGAUUCCUAGACAGUUUAAGAAGCACCAUUGAUCUGAUCAUUGGCACUGAGGAGGAAAUGCCCAUCCGCAGAAGACAUGCAGGGCUCAACCCAGCUUGACAUGGGCACAUUCUGUUGCCUACUUUCUACCUUGACGUCAUUUGGAGUAACAGCAGCCCAUGUUGUGAUAAUGGAGACAAUGAGUGCAUGGGAAAUUAUCAACUAACAAACACAGUACACAGAAAGGAGCUCUGGAGACCAGGGAGCACCCAAGCCAAUCCUGGAAACCGGAUUGGGCAGUUUCUGUAUCUGGUGGAGUGGGCAGAAGACAGCAGCCCCAGGGCUUGAGCCUCCCUUCACAGUGGGUACCUGGCACAGGCAGACAACAAGCAGUGAGUGGGCCAGCAGAAUGGAACGGCUUGGUCAGCACAGGCGCUUUCAUCAGAUGAAGUGGGGUCACCUUUUACACUCCUGUUAACUCCUUGGGUGGAAUUACCCAACGGAAUGAAAAUUGGAUGGAGUUAUGGCGGGACACUCUUACUGGACACUGAAACCAUCCUGCAGCAAAUUGCUUCUGUGAAAUCUUUCUGCUGUUUGGGAGGUAUCCUUCUAUAGCACAGAAACGGAAACUUCAGCCAGAAGAGAGGAAUUCAGUGACUCCAUGCCAACAGAAACAGAGCUCUGCAUUUGUUUCCUGAGCCUACUUGCACUUGGAAGGUUUCUUUCCUCACAAGAAACAUGUGUUACAGGAUAUAAAAGUGGCUUUCCGUUUGGGGUUAGAACCCGAAACAGAAAGACAACAGAGAAAAAUUUCAGCUCAGCCUUUCUAGAUUGGAAAUGAUGCAUGAAUGUUGUUGUUUCUCCAAGACUUCAGCACAGGUAUAACAUGGUGCUAAUUUAAUCACCCGGUGAAUCACCUUUUCUCUGUGAGAUGUUAACACUGAUGUAAGAUGUUUCCAUGUGAGGAACGGGAAAGACUUGAGACACAAAAAAGCUUCAAGGAUUGGUAAAUAGAAUAAUGUGGUCUGUACCCCACUAAUUUUUCUUGCCAUCCAUGAGAGGCCCGAUGGGCUGCAGCAAUGCAUCAUUUAGAUCGCCCCUUCAGCUGGUUCAUGGAAAACUAACAAAAAUUGAUGUUGU